UAAACUAGGAUAGAUACCCUAUUAUUCUAAAAUAAAAUUAAGAUAUUGGAGAUUAAAUGUAAAUCAUUAAAUUUAAAUAAUUUGGCGGUAUUUUAAAAAAUUAGAGGAAUCUGUUGAGUAAAUGAUAAUCCACGAUAGGAGGGUCCUAAUAUAUUUUUAUAUAUUGUUGUUUGAAUAUUAGUUUAUAAGGAUUUAAUAGAAAGUUAGAAUUAUAGAGUAAUUCAAAUCAAAAUGUAGAAUUAUUAGGUUUAAAUGGAUUACAAUUAAGAUUAUUAUUAGAACUUAGAUUUUAAAUAUCAAAGUAAAAGAGGAUUUAAUAGUAAGAUUAUAGAAUAAUAUAAUUUGAAUAAUAUAUAAGAUAUGUACAAAUUGCGGUUCUUUUCAAUAA
rnacentral:rRNA from 1 species